rnacentral:lncRNA from 1 species
AGGAAUAAGUAAACUAGCCCAGCCAGAGAAGAAAGCUUCUUCCUUUACCCAGUGGAAUGGAGAUUACUAAAAGAGCCCUGCCCUUUGCAGAAACCAUCUCACAGGAAAACUAUUAAAUUAGAUGAACAGGAUCUGACAAUUUCCAUGAAGGAAAAUCAUGCCCAUCUCCAGGUUUUUUGAGCCACUUAUAGUGGCUUGAUGUAGUCGUCUGUGAAAAGUACGAGUCAUCUGGGGCCUGCAUUAUUGAAAUGCUUUUAUCUGGCUACCCAUGACUGGCCAUUAGCAGCACUGUAAAGAGAUUCAGUUUAUACAGUGGGAAUAAAGUGGGCUUCUGACAUUUUAUCAUAUUCCAUUAUGAUUGCAGAUUUAUCUACUUCUCUUUGUAGUUCUAUUAAUUUCUGAUUUAUAUAUUUUGAGCAUAUUAUUAAGAGCACACAAAUUAAAAAUGUAGAUUAGGCCAAAAACUCAAUGAGGAAAUGAAGAGUAAAACAGUAACAAUAGAUGGCGGGGGGAAACACUAGAAAUUCUAGAAGUGAAAAAUAUAGCAAUAGCAAAAAUUAAGAAUUCAGUGGAUGACUUUAAUUCCAAAUUAGGCACAGCUGAAGAAUUGCUGAACUGAAAAUUAGGUUAAAAGAAUCUAUCAAGAUUAAAAACAGGCAGACAAAAGGAUGGGAAAAGCAGAGAAGUAGGUAAAAGACCUCGACUAUGUAGUGGAAUAUAUAAUACACAAUUAAUUGCUAUUUCUCAAAGAGAAGCAAAAGUAAUAUUUGAGAAAUUUCCAAGACUGAUUAAUUUAAGAAGCCCAUGGGAGGCUUAAAUAUUCCAGGACCAUCUUAAUCCAAUUUCAAGACUUGAGGUUUUGGGUCUACCCAGAGGACUAGAAGUUAAACUGGGAGAGCUCUUUUAUUUCUGAUUAGUCCUCCCUCCCAGGAAAUUGAAAUCCUCGACAGAUCCUAGAUUCCUAUUGUUUUUGUCUCUAAUUCCAGAAGCUUGCCAGAGUACAGCUCAGAAUCUCAGCUAUUAUAUCAGCUAACCAUUAAGAGAAAAGGAAUCUCUCUGUAUUUCUAGCAUGGAGAAAUUGCGUUAUCAUCAGAGAAUUGGUUGUAAAAUGUUAGAGGAACUGGAGGAACACAAGGAAAUGAAUAACUCACCCAGAGGUCACAAAGCUGCCUCAUGCCCUAGUGUGGAGCCCACUAACCCACACAAUUGCCACAGUUUCCACCACUGCUGUUGAAUGUCACCCACUGCUUCUAAUCAGAAGCUCAGGAGUUAACCCCAUUGAUGCUGCAGAAACCAAUCCCAAAAUGUGGGGACUUCCAGUUACUAUCAAAAUUGGAUAAAUGGCUUCUUCCUCUACUAGCCCAUCAGCAUUAGACCACUAGAGAAAAACCUGGAGUUCUAUAAAGUCAGAUUUAUUUGCUGGUUACAAGGGAAAUACCAGAGGAACCACGGAGCAGCCCACCAAGCAAAAGAAACAAUUGAGGUAUUACAGGAUGUGGGCUAAAGGUGGCAUUUAGGUGAAAUUUUUAAAAAGCAGUGUUUGGACAGAUCAAAGAAAAAUAGGGCUGUGGGUAAGGGAUCCUCAUGAGGUCUGGACUGCAAAGUGGACUCAGAGUCCUGCUUCCUUAUAACCUAAAAAAGUCAAGAUAGAUGUGGAAGGCUGUGUCAAGCAACCACUUACCUGAAACUCCACCAAUCAAUUAAAACUCAAGGUUGCUUCUCUAUAUCAAAGUGGCCAAGGUCCUCUGGGCAAAAGUAAGAUGUUUCAUCCUUAUUGAUAUGAUUUCAAGUAACAAAAUAUUUUAGAGAAAAAAUAUUUUUCACAGGUAAGAGAGCAUUAGCCACUUAAAAGAAGUGACAACAACCACAACUCUUCACAACAUUACAACAUUUUACAACAGCUUCAUGUCCUUGGAGAAAUAUUGUUUGCCACUAACUUUGCAGUUGCCUUUAUUGGUGGCUAUGAUGCCCCCCUUAUGAAUGGCAGGAUAGAUUUUACUUUCUUGGUCUGAGUUGAUUUUUAGGUUCUCAUUCCUUCCUUCUAAUUUUAGUUUUCCACCAGUGUUUCCCAUUGCCAGAACAUAACUGGAAGGCAGCUGGUAAGAAGUCAAAAAGGUGUAGUUUUCAGGCUUUGUACACCUUGAAAUGGACUGGAGAUCCAAGAGGGACAUCUAUCCAGAGAACAGAGCUCAUUAAGUUUGGCAAAUGCCCUCAAUAAAAAAGUAGCCUUGAAUGAUGGGAAACUCAUCUUUCUAGUUUCCAAUGUCUACUGAGAACUGAGUUGGUAGUUGCUACCUUUUCAGUUCUUUCUGACUAUAGAGAAAAUGAUUUUUAGAUUUGUCCCAGCUUUUAGUUGCUUAAACAGAAUGAUGAUUUCGGUAAAAUUAUCCAGUUUUUUACCCAUGCCCUCCACUUUUCAAUCAGUCUUACACAUUUCUAUCAAAAUGAUCUACCUAAACACAGCUCUGAUCGUAUCAAGAGGUCAGCCUUGCAUGUGCAAAUGAGAAAUGAUCCCAGCCAGUCUGUGGGCAAGAACAUCUUGCCUAUGAUGCUGACCUGAAAAAGGGAUAAUGUGAGCUCAGGACAGGGGCAUUUUUAUUAGAUCACACAACCCAAUGUCCUUCCAUUCAGUGGAACCCAAAAUAUACUUUUCCAAGCAAUGAAUCAUUUUCUGUAAAAUUGAAUCCACAUGUUUUUAAUUCAUGGACAAUUGACACAUUAAUAAAUUGUAUGGUGAGAACAAGCUGAUAGCCUCAAACCUUCCAAAACUUGCAGGAAGGCUAGUUUCUCCAGUUAUUUUCCUUAGAAACAUGAAAUUUACUAGGCUAAGAAAAUAAAUAAAUAAAUACAAACUCAACAUGGUUUCAAACUGCCAAGCCCUAGAGGGACUUAGAAUGUCUGUGGGAGGGGGACGGGUACUGUGGCCUAAGAUAGUCUGUCCUUGGUUCCCUCUUGGCUGGCCUGGAAUUCUCCACUGUUUUUGCCUUUAGUUCUUACCUCCAGAUCAAUGACAUCAAAUUUUUCAUCCAGUAGAUUUUACAGUUUUCAAAGGGCUUUCUCAUCCAAUGCCUCACUAGGUCUUCAGUAAAACCCCAUAAAGUCAGUGUUUCUAACUAGCAUUCUCCUCUGUAUAAUUGAGGAGAUGAGACUCAGAUAAAUUAGCUAUCUUGAUCAAAAGUUCGAGAUGUGAUAGCCAGCCUCUAGGAUGACUCAACUGGUCCUGGGACCAUUUAUAUUGUACCAGGAUUGAGCUCUCUGACCAAUAGCAGUCAGCAGCAAUAAUGGUAUGUCACAUAUAAGACUAGAUGAUUAAAAGGCUGAAGCUUCAGUUUUAGGGGCUUGUUCUUUCUCCCUCCCUCCCUCCUCCUCUCCUUCUCCCUUUUGCACUACUCAACCUGAAAGAGGCCCUCUGUCAUAUCAGGAGGGCAUUCGAGCUACCUGCGAGAGACCCAUGUGGGGAGGAACUGAAGUCUCCAGCCAAAAGCCAGCAAGGAACUGAAACCUAUGAAAAGUCAUAUGAGUGAGCUUGGAAGUGAAGCCUUCAGCCCCAGUUAAGCCUUAGAUAACUUCAUUCCUGUCAAGAAUUUAACUGCAGCUUCAUUAGAGAGACCCUAAACCAGAACCACACAGGUAAGCCUUUCCUGGAUUCCUCAUUCUCAGGAACCAGGCCACAAUAAAUUGUCAUUGCUUUAAGCCACUAAAUUUUAGGGUCAUUUGUUACAUGUGUUCUACAAUAGCAUGCCAAAACAGUGAUACAGUAUCUGUCUCUCUCACCCUACAGGUGGGGAAUCCUAUAUUCCUGUUAAACUUAAGACACACUAGAUUUUUAGGUGAUGGAGAAACUUAAAGAAAUAAGUUUUGUAUCUGGAAAUACCGGACACAUUUUUACCUUUAUGCUGCACUUUCCCAGUCUUAAAAGCUUUUUGGCCAUGGUAUCUAUUUGAUCCUGACAGAAUAGUCUCAUUCUGGAACAAGCCCUUCCCUUUAAUAUCCACUUUCUAAGUCAUAAAUACACCUACCAGCCAGCUCUCAUUCGCUACCUGAGUAUCUACUUAUCUCCAAGGCAUCUUCCUUCUAAGCAUUGUACUUUAGAUACUUUUUGGUACUUACCUAAUGAGCCUCUAAAUCAUUGAAGCAUCAGGUCAUAAAGAGCCUUAUCUGCUGGACAUCAUGGCCAACUGGGCUACCAACAGUGUUUCUAAGUCAAGUCAUGCUCAGUGAACAUCUAAGAGUCUAACAAAGAGCUGCCCUAUCUUUUAUCUGGCUAAUGAGCAGUCCCUGGGAGGUUCUUCCUAUCUGAAGGGUUGGAGCUUCUGUUUCCUGUCUGAAGGGUUAGAGCUUGGCAAAUGCUCUACACAAUCAGAAAUGGUCUACUCCCUGGGAGUUCCCAUGUGGCUGAGCGAUAACAAACCCAACUACUAUCCAUGAGGACGAGGGUUUAAUCCCUGGCCUCUCUCAGUGGGUUAAACAAUCGGGCAUUGCCUUGAGCUGUGGUGUAGGUCACAAACAUGGCUCGGAUCCUGCAUUGCUGUGGUGUAGGCCUGCAGCUGGCCCUCCUAUUCAACCCCUAGCCUGGGAACUUCCAUGUGACUCAGGUGCAGCCCUAAAAAGACAAAAGAAAAAAAAUCCAAGAAAAAAAAAGAAAUGGUCUACUCUCUGCUCCAUAAAUCUCAGCAUCUCACUUCUGUUCCUCUUCAUGGUCCUGAAAUCUGAAUGCAUUUAUCCCCCUUCCUCCCCUUAUCCAGAAUUAUCCCCCACUCAAAGUCAGGACAUAUUUCACUGGAUAAAUGGAUAUUUUGUUUCCACACAUGAUUUGAAACUCUUUGAGUGGAGGGAGGGGAGCCAAUAGUUACAGACCCCUGCUCAGGGGUAGGAUCCACGCCAGGCACUGUGUGUAGAUUAUGAGUACAUGGAUGCCAGCCUUUUGUGAGGGAGUUUAGUGAAUACUGCUGAGCGCUUGAUUGACUAGGAGGCUCACCAGUGUCUGCCCACUCCUAAUGUCUCCAGCAGAUUUUGAUAAAUGAUACAAAGGUCUAGCUCAAGCCCCAGAGCCCCUAGAUUAGAUUUUUCCUGAGGCCUCUAGUACACAUGCCAAGCACUGUCUUACAGCCUCCACCCCCCAUGCACAGCCCCUGACAGGGAUGACUCUGGGCACGCAGCAUGCCUGGCCACCACUGGUUGGCCCAGAGAUGGAUGCCUGACCCAAAUUUGGCUCUCUCAAAGAUGUAGGAGAGAGAUCUCUAAGGGUCCGAGGAAGCUGGACCAGGCCUUUUAGUUAAAAGUCAUAGAGGAGUUCCCCUUAUGGCUCAGUGGGUUAAGAACCCAACUAGUAUCCAUAAGAAUGCAGGUUUGAUCCCUGGCCUUGCUCAGUGGGUUAAGGACCAGUCCUUGCACAAACUGCAGCGUAGGUCACAGAAGCAGCUUGGAUUUGAUGGGGCUGUGGCUGUGGCAUAGGAUUGCAGCUGCAGCUC